UACGUAGGGGGCAAGCGUUGUCCGGAUUUAUUGGGCGUAAAGCGCGUGUAGGUGGCCAAGUAGGUCCGCUGUGAAAACUUGAGGCUCAACCUCAAGCUGUCGGUGGAAACCCCUUGGCUAGAGUCCGGAAGAGGAGAGUGGAACUGCGAGUGUAGAGGUGAAAUUCGUAGAUAUUCGCAAGAACACCAGUGGCGAAGGCGGCUCACUGGCCCGGUACUGACGCUGAGGUGCGAAAGCGUGGGAGCAACAGGAU
rnacentral:rRNA from 1 species